ACAUAAGCAAAGGUAGGGGAAACUGCUGUGAUAGUGGGAAGAAGCUGGUAGCUGCUACCAGGAAGAAAAACAGAUGCAAAGACAGAAAAACAUGAUCUACGCUGGAACUGGCAGCAAGAGAAGUAAUUUUGUUGGAACCGUGACUGAGAACUGAAACAUUAUAGACCCAUAAGAACCUCUGAUAGCAGUACGUGAUUUCAUAGUAACCUGCAGAAGGUAACUGGAUAACACUUUGGACUGGACAAUAACAAUUUCUAGCCUGAACAGCUUACCCAUGCUAAUGAAGAUGGAAAUGGGCUUUCACAUCUAACUCUUACAGGGUUUUCCUGUGUCUUGGCUAAAAUGGAUUUUCAUUUUAUCACCGAUGGCAAGAACUUACUCAGGUCUUAACUAGGAUGGAAUAAACCUACCUAAUCCAGGUGGAAGAAGGGAGAGAGGAAAGGAGAGCUGGGUAUUGUUGCUGUCUGCUUCCCUGUGCACAGCACAUAUUUCUGCAUGGAUUUCCAGCAGCAGUCAUUGAUGAUCGCAUCAGCAGUAACGUCCCUUGAUGCUUGCAAUCCUUCUUAAGGAGUCCAGGGAAUGUAGCACUGCAUGGGAAUGGGGCUGAAAGCAGCAGCAGAUACUGGUGACAGCUAGCAAGAUUCUUUCACUGAAAAGACCAGGACAGAGCUGCAGAGAAGUUAAUCAGUCUUCACGAAUGACAGAGGGAGAUCAGGGAACUUUCCUGCCGACCAGUUUCUCUUCUCUUGGAAGUAUCUGCCGGAAUUGUUUGCAUCCCACUUCCUCCCCUCGUGCCACCUCCCACGUCCCAAAUGAACUUCAUUUCUUGAAAGGUGGCAUUUGCAGCAGAGCUUGGUGCUUUUUUCAGGUCUUCUAAGACACACGCAUUUGAAAAGGAAUUCAGUCCAGCAGGAGCGGGAGGAGCCCAGCCGCCCGGGGACAUCGCUGUCAACUGCAUCUCCAUGGUGCCACCUUCCGACAGGCUGCAGGCAGCCGUGGGACAGCCGGCUCCAGGAGUAUCCCUGCAAGGAAAGAGAAGCUUACGCCGUGGGAGAGCACAUCUGCCUAGACUGCAGAGAUGUGGGAGUGAGAGUCAGAAAGGAAAAACCUUAGAAACACGAUUUGGCGUGUCUUUUGUGUUCCGUGCUGUAUGCAGGACAAACUGGGGCUCCUUCAGCCUGUUGGGUGCUAAGACUCAAGCACUGUGCAAAUGCUGAUUGUCAGGUUUAUGUCAUGUUGAAUUAUCGGAAAUGAAAGAAUUGCCUGGAAAGAGAAUAUUUUAAAAUAUUUUAAAAUUUGUUCUCCGGGAAAAAACCCCACACACCAAAACCCCUCUGUUUGUAUCAGUUCCAGGUUAAUUUACAAUAUGGUGACAGCAGAACUAAUAGACUAAAAUAUUACUUAUAUUCAUAUUUUCAAUGGAUGGAGAAAUGGUGGAGUUGAUAUUGAAGACUUUCCCAGUCGCUUGCCACAGCUCCCGAGCAGCUUAUAUAGAGAUGAGAGCAAAAACGCGGCACUGUCAACAGCGUGAAAUGUAUGUCUUGCACUCUUGACUUAAUUUCUUUAUCCCUUUUUUAAAAAAAAAUUUAUUUCCCUCUAUUUAACCUUAUACAGAAGUCCACGGGAGACUGUAGACUUAGGAUGAAUGUUACAUGCUGACUCACAUCCUUCUUUGGUAAUUGAGUCCUAUGAAGGGAAAUGCCACAAAUACCUACUUGACACAGGUGUUGAAAACUAGGAGAAUAUAUUGGGUUUUUUAUACAUUGAAGUACUCCUAUAUGUACCCGACUAAAGGGGUCUCAGAAACAGGUCCCUGUUCAUUAAUGGGCUGUCUUGCUUAUUGUUCACUCAAAUCUUAGAAGCAAGUAUGGUGAAGAUGCACAAGGAAAAUACAACCCAUCUCAGUCUACCUUGAUCUCUAAUACUCUUCAAAACAUUAGAGUUACUGGAGUAACUUUAGGGAAAAGAUUAGAUUAUUAGACCUCUAAUACUUCUAAAUGUUCUGCUGAGAAGUUUAAAAAUUAUUUUAAGUGUAAAAAUCAACAGAUAUGUCUAUAAGACGGUGUGGGGGGAAAGAAUGCGAUGGAGGAGUUACUCUUUUGAGAAAGUGUUCCUCUUCAUAGUAGGGCUCUCUUAACUCUUCUGAAAUUAAUUAAAAAAAAUUUGAAUUACAAAACCAAAUGAAUUAAAGAAAAAUUCCUGUCAUUGUAUGCUUUAAAAGAUAAUUUUUCUCUGACCUUUCUCUUGUAAGGGUUAGUUGCAAAUGGUUUGCUAUGAGACAGUGACACCUGAUACUCUAGAUGUCAAUUGUUUUGUUUUGUUCUGACGUUUCAAAUAAUUGUGUAUUUUUGCCCAUUCUAAAGGCAUAAUGCUUACAAGGCAGAAGUCCUUAAGAAACUAUGGGGUUUGGACUCUCUGUCCAAAAAAAUAGUGCUGCAGGGAGAGUAGCCUAGCAGUAAGCAGCCUUGGCAAAUUCUAGAAAACUAAAACUAUUCAAGAGGCUUUUCUUUUUGUUCGUUUGCCUAGUUUUAAAAUGAUAUUCUCAGUGGAGAUAUCUGGAACACUGCCUAUUUGCAUCAACAUGAGGCAAAAAUUCUGUCAUAUUAUUUAAACAGAGUUGAAUCUGAUUGAACAGGAAAGGUACUCUUUGGUAUAUGACUUAAUCAAAUAUAUUUGUUUUUUGUGGCUAUGGCUAUACUGUCUUCCCCUCUUUAGAGAGCCUGUCUGUCCAAAGGGGCAGCUGCCAUUUUGGGAAUAUUGCAACACAUUAUUGUGGAGCAUAUAAAGAAGAUGUUUUCUAUUAUAUGGAACUCAUUUUUUGUGUUUUCUCCAGGUCAGUUGCUAUCCUUCCUCGCUACCAGAUCAAUAAAAAUAUAUGACCAUGGUGCAUAACAAAACAUUACAGCACAGGUUUGCUUACACAAGGUUUCUUUGUUGUCUUACAGACAAUCUGUGAGGAAAGAGAAAAUGCAGUAUUAUGAAGCUCUCUAGAGAUGAUUUUGCAGAUCCCAAAAAUACACUUUAUAUGAUGUGGGUUUCUUUCUUGAUGGGAGGGCCAGGGUCUUAUGCCAAAAUAUGUUUGUAGGCUUCUCUUAAAGAAUAAAUAAAGAAAUCAACCCAGAAA